rnacentral:lncRNA from 1 species
AUAUUUGGUUUUGGGUUAGAUAGGACAUUUAUAUUUUUGCGUGGUGCUUCUAUAAAUUCCUUGUUGUAAAAACCGCAACCAUUAUAGUGCAUUUGCUUCCAAGGUUGGAAGGACACUGGAUGUAGGCAUUGUUGGCCGAACCAGUAUAAAAACCAGUGUUUGAUUUUCUCUAUCCCUGCACUCUUUAAUUCAGUUGAAUUUAUCUGUUUAGCAGUCAACUAUGUUUUUUCUGCUGCAUUGAAUUUUCAUUACUUGCAUUUCAAGGAAAGAUAAAAAGCUUUGAAUUUUCAUACCAAGAUUGUGAAAAGAUUUUGUUUUUAAACUAAUAACAAUUCACCCCCC